rnacentral:rRNA from 1 species
GACGAACGCUGGCGGCGUGCUUAACACAUGCAAGUCGAACGGAAAGGCCCUGCUUUUGUGGGGUGCUCGAGUGGCGAACGGGUGAGUAACACGUGAGUAACCUGCCCUUGACUUUGGGAUAACUGCAGGAAACUGGGGCUAAUACCGGAUAGGAGCUCCUGCUGCAUGGUGGGGGUUGGAAAGUUUCGGCGGUGGGGGAUGGACUCGCGGCUUAUCAGCUUGUUGGUGAGGUAGGGGCUUACCAAGGCUUUGACGGGUAGCCGGCCUGAGAGGGUGACCGGCCACAUUGGGACUGAGAUACGGCCCAGAAUCCUACGGGAGGCAGCAGUGGGGAAUAUUGCACAAUGAGCGGAAGCCUGAUGCAGCAACGCCGCGUGCGGGAUGACGGCCUUCGGGUUGUAAACCGCUUUCGCCUGUGACGAAGCGUGAGUGACGGUAAUGGGUAAGGAAGCACCGGCUAACUACGUG